GCAGAAUGCCUUUCAAGUCAUUGCUGUGGAUGGGGUCUGCACUGGGAUUAUUCAGUGCCUCUCUGCUGAAGACUGCGUUGACUGGCUACAAGCAAUAGCAACUAACAUUUCAAAUCUCACAAAGCACAAUAUUAAAAAAAUCAACAGAAACUUUCCUGUAAACCAGCAGAUUGUCUACAUGGGCUGGUGUGAAGCCCGGGAGCAAGACCCCCUCCAGGACAGAGUGUACUCCCCGACCUUCCUGGCCCUGAGGGGCUCAUGUCUCUACAAGUUUCUGGCACCUCCAGUGACCACCUGGGACUGGACGAGAGCAGAGAAAACAUUCUCAGUUUAUGAGAUUAUGUGCAAGAUCCUCAAGUGACCUGCUGGACCGACGGAAACAGUGCUUCACCGUGCAGUCUGAGUCUGGGGAGGACCUGUACUUCUCAGUGGAGCUGGAAAGUGACCUCGCCCAGUGGGAAAGAGCCUUCCAGACAGCAACCUUUCUAGAAGUAGAACGGAUACAGUGCAAGACCUAUGCAUGUGUGCUAGAAAGUCAUCUAAUGGGACUCACAAUUGAUUUCAGCACAGGAUUUAUCUGCUUUGAUGCUGCAACAAAGGUAAUGUGUUCAGGUCAGCUCUGAGAAAUAUGCUGCAAACAUUCUAAUUGAAGAAUGAUUUAAAUGCCUCAUAACUCCUUUCAGCAUUUUAAUUGUAAUCGUGUCAAAUUUAAGAUCUUCGUUUUUGUUAAUGGAAGAUAAAUUAUGCUUCGAUCUGAAAAAAAGUUUGAAUUUUUAAUAAAACAUAUGUAGUACCACAAAACUA
rnacentral:lncRNA from 1 species